rnacentral:misc_RNA from 1 species
UUUUUUUUUAUUCAAAAUUAGCUCGUAAUAUGUCAAUGCAGAAGGGAUUUAUACAAAUGAUGGAGAAUCUGCGCUUGGAAAUCUCAGUUCGCGUUAUAAUUUCGAAAGGUGCAGACCAAGGCGGAUUAGCGCGUUCGGAUUUGAAGAAUGAAGUGAUAAAUUGAAUUGAUGUUGCAACCCAAAGUUGAAGUGGAUUCUAAUUAAAAAAUAUUUAAAACUGAAAAAAGAUUAUUUUCACAACACCGAGUCGGACUACAUCGAGUGGAAAAUUAAAGAAAAUUGCGGGAAAGCGAAAUGACCGACAUUGAAGAGAUUAUCGCCAAGCUGCAACGCUUUUCCUGGCCAGACUAUGGCGUCUUCAUUGCGAUGUUCGUCAUUUGCAUUAUGAUUGGCAUUUAUUUCGGCUUCCUGAAUCGCAGCCUCUCGGAGGCCGACUACCUCAUGGGUGGCCGAAAUAUGCUCGUAUUGCCCAUUGCACUAUCGUUGGUGGCGAGUUUCAUUUCCGGUAUUACUUUGCUCGGUCUACCGACGGAGGUCUAUUCGUAUGGCAUACAAUAUUUAUAUGUCUCCUUGGGUGUUAUGGCCAUGGGCGUCGUAAUGGGCGUAUUUUAUCUGCCCGUCUUUCAUCAGUUGAAUAUCACAUCGACUUAUGAGUAUCUGGAAAUUCGUUUCGAUCGUCGUCUACGCAUGUACGGAUCCGUAAUGUUUGCGGUAAUGAAUGUCGCUUAUCUGCCAAUAGUGAUCUAUGUGCCCGCCUUGGCCUUCAAUCAGGUAACAGGAGUUGCUGUACAUACGAUCACACCGAUUGUGUGUAUUAUCUGCAUCUUCUAUACGAGUUUGGGCGGCAUCAGGGCAGUUGUCUGGACGGAUGUUGUGCAAACAGUGUCCAUGGUGGGCGCACUUAUACUGGUGGCCGUCAAGGGUAGUCACGAUAUUGGUGGCGCUGGUGUUGUACUGCGAAAUGCUUGGGAAACCGAUCGCAUUGAGGGUCCGGAUUUGAGCAUCAAUCCGACCGUGCGUCAUACGCUUUGGUCACAGGUAAUUGGCGGCGUGGUCUAUUGGACCCAGACCAAUGCCGUGUCACAGAAUAUGAUACAGCGUUACUUGGCGUUGCCAACUUUGCGUGCCGCACGUAUUGCGCUAGGUAUAUUUUGCCUUGGCGUAUUGACCAUGAUGGCGCUUUGCGGUUACAAUGGUCUGUUAAUUUACGCCACCUACAAAAACUGUGAUCCACUUACGACAAAGCUAGCCAAAGCACGUGAUCAACUGUUGCCGCUUUUUGUGAUGGACACACUGGGUGAUUAUCCCGGUCUGACAGGUCUUUUCAUUGCUGGAGUCUUUAGCGCGGCAUUGAGUUCGCUUUCCACUUGCUUGAAUUCGAUGUCCGCGGUGGUUUUGGAGGACUUUGUUAAACCCUUUGUGAAGCGACCAUUGUCCGAUUCGGCGAUAAAUUGGAUUAUGAGAUCCGUGGUGGUGGGGAUGGGCGUGCUGUGCGUCUGUUUGGUUUAUGUAGUCGAACACAUGGGCACGGUGUUGCAGUUGACUAUGAGUCUGGAGGCAAUUACCAAUGGUCCACUCUUUGGUAUCUUCAGUAUUGGUAUUUUCAUGCCCUGGAUUAGCGAGCGCUUUAACUGGCGGCGUUUUGGGUGUUAUUGCUAUGUCCUGGAUAAGUCUGAAGGCUCAAUGGGCUAUAGCUUCUGGUGCCAUCAAGUAUCAGACAAAACACAUCACAGUUGACCAUUGCGAUUACCGAUUUGAUCAUUCGAAUUUGCCGCUGAGCGCAGCCAAUAUGACAGAUCUUAAUGCGGCAGCAGACGAAAUAUUUCCAUUAUAUCGCAUUUCCUACAUGUGGUUCACUUGUUUGGGUGCUUCGAUCACAAUUUUUAUUGCUAUUCUGUAUUCGAGCAU